GGAUUUCUGGCGGGAGCGGGUGGUCCGGCACUUAGUGUUGGUACUUUCCUGUCUCUUGCCAUCCUUGGGUCUAAGCUGUCUGGCAUUUAGUUGUCGGGCAGUGGCUGCCCAUCGUUUACUGUGAAAAAAUUAGAGUGUUCAAAGCAGGCUUAUGCCGUUGAAUAUAUUAGCAUGGAAUAAUAAGAUAGGACCUUGGUACUAUUUUGUUGGUUUGCGCACCGAGGUAAUGAUUAAGAGGGACAGUUGGGGGUAUUCGUAUUCAAUUGUCAGAGGUGAAAUUCUUGGAUUUCUGGAAGACGAACUACUGCGAAAGCAUUUACCAAGGAUGUUUUCAUUAAUCAAGAACGAAAGUUAGGGGAUCGAAGAUGAUUAGAUACCAUCGUAGUCUUAACCAUAAACUAUGCCGACUAGGGA
rnacentral:rRNA from 1 species